CUUCGGGCUGAGUACAGCGGCGGACGGGUGAGUAACGCGUAGGAAUCUACCUGGUAGUGGGGGACAACUUGGGGAAACCCAAGCUAAUACCGCAUACGCCCUAAGGGGGAAAGCGGGGGCCUCGUUUCUUUUAGGAGAGACGGACCUCGCGCUAUCGGAUGAGCCUGCGUUGGAUUAGCUAGUUGGUGAGGUAAGAGCUCACCAAGGCGACGAUCCAUAGCUGGUCUGAGAGGAUGAUCAGCCACACUGGGACUGAGACACGGCCCAGACUCCUACGGGAGGCAGCAGUGGGGAAUAUUGCGCAAUGGGGGCAACCCUGACGCAGCCAUGCCGCGUGUGUGAAGAAGGCCCUAGGGUUGUAAAGCACUUUCAAUGGGGAAGAAAGGUUGCGUGUUAAUAGCACGUAGCUGUGACAUUACCUUUAGAAGAAGCACCGGCUAACUCCGUGCCAGCAGCCGCGGUAAUACGGAGGGUGCGAGCGUUAAUCGGAAUUACUGGGCGUAAAGCGCGCGUAGGCGGUUUGUUAAGUCAGCUGUGAAAGCCCCGGGCUCAACCUGGGAACUGCAGUUGAUACUGGCCGACUAGAGUACGAGAGAGGGAGGUAGAAUUCCACGUGUAGCGGUGAAAUGCGUAGAUAUGUGGAGGAAUACCGGUGGCGAAGGCGGCCUCCUGGCUCGAUACUGACGCUAAGGUGCGAAAGCGUGGGGAGCAAACAGGAUUAGAUACCCUGGUAGUCCACGCCGUAAACGAUGUCUACUAGCCGUUGGGGAACUUGAGUCUCCAGUGGCGCAGCUAACGCACUAAGUAGACCGCCUGGGGAGUACGGCCGCAAGGUUAAAACUCAAAUGAAUUGACGGGGGCCCGCACAAGCGGUGGAGCAUGUGGUUUAAUUCGAUGCAA
rnacentral:rRNA from 1 species